rnacentral:pre_miRNA from 1 species
GUUUACUUGUGUGUGGAUGGUGUUCAGCACCAGGGACAGGGUGUUUUUUGCCCGUGUGGAUGGUGUUCAGCUCCAAGGACAGGGUGUUUUUUG